rnacentral:tRNA from 1 species
GGUCUUGUGGUGUAACGGUUAGCACUCUAGACUCUGAAUCUAGCGAUGGCGGUUCAAAUCCGCCCAGGACCU